rnacentral:tRNA from 1 species
UGGCACAGUGGUUAAGCACUUGGCUGUUAACCAAAAAAAAUUUGGUGGUUCAAAUCCACC